rnacentral:lncRNA from 1 species
UAUGGGUCACUAUCUUCCUGGGCCUGAUAAGUUUAAUCCAAGUUGCCCGGGAGGGAAGAACUCAUAAAAUACUUUAUCUGAAGCAAGUGCAAAAAUACUCAUAAACUAAAGGUUAAUCACUGCACCAGAAGAACAGAUGAAGGAGACAGGCCAGUUUUAUGUUUCUUUACUGUGCUGCCCUUAUUAAUCAUGUUAUGAAAUUACGGCAUGCAGGAAUGAGUAGCAACACUGUUGGCUCCUGUGGUGGACUUCUAUGACACUAUGUGAAGCUGAGUGGGCUUGGAAGCUAAUUUCUCAAUGAAAUCAAUUAACAGGACAGUAAAUAUUUGAGAUUUGUGGAUCAAAUAAUAUCUUAAC